AACCUUAAAACCCUAAGUCACUUCUCUCACUCCUCUCUCACGCCCAGCAUCCUCGACCCAUUCCUGACCGGCGCCCGCGCCUACCCCCACCCAUCACCGGCCGGCGCCACGCCACGCCACGUUCUCCGACCGGCGCCGUCUCAGCAGCAGCAGAGGGCGGCACAGCAGCAGCAGCAAUCUUGGCAAUUGAGGAAUCUCAACAUUUAAAAAAGUUGAUACAAGACUAUUCUCCUUUCAUCAAAGUAGGAGAUAAGUGUCGACACAGAGAAGAAGAAGAAGAAGCAAAAAUGGGAGGUAAAGGGAAGAAGAGAAGAGAGAAGAAUUACAGGGCAGCUCAUGGAGGCACUACUAGACUUCCUCCCCCACCCAACACCUCUUCUAUUGAUGCCAUUCCCUCUAAGCUCCGUCAAAUUAUGGCCUUUUCAGGGGAUGGGAAAGGUUCAUCGGAUAAUGCAGACAGGAAGAAAGGAGAUAGUGGUGGUAGUGCUAAUGGAAAGAGGAUACAUUCAGACGAUCAAAUUCAAGCUAAAACUGCGGGUAACAAACGGAAAGAUGACAAAAGCAGUUUGAGUGGUGUUGGAGCUGAAGAAAGUAAUGCACAUCAGAAGAGAAAUAAAAAGAGAAAAAGGAAGGAAGUGAAGGACCUUCGGUUUGAUACAACUGAACUGGGCAUUACUAGUUCAAAGAGAAAGGAGCGAAAGAAACAGCGUUUGGCAGAAAUGAAGAAGAAACAUAAAAAGGCCAAUACUGAUGAACACAUGGAUUUUCCUGGCCGUGAAGAAAUAAAAUUUGGUGAAGUCGUUGAAGCUCCACCUAAGCUUGCAGUUCCAAAGGCAUUCAAGAAUAAUGCACAUGAUGCUUCAAAAGAAAGACUUCGAUUGCAAGCAGUUGAGGCCUAUAGGCAGCGGAAAGGAUGGACAUCAAGACUGGGGCUUCAGAUUUCUCCACCAAUCACCGAGACUCCAUUGGUAUAGUUAUCUCAGAAACAACUAGUUGGAUGGGUACAUGAUGCCAUGCAAAAUAUCUACACUAAGAAAAAUGAGAAAGAAGGAUCUGUAGUUCAGCAGGAAGAAUGACCUUGUCUUCAAGUCCUCGUCAUGUUGCUAGCUGAGAUCCUGCCAGAAAUUUCAGAAUAUAUCUGAAUCUUAUCGCAUUAUGUAACGACUCUUUCACAGUUUUUCCAUAGGCUACUUAAAACACAGCAGCACUUCAUAAUCUUGUCCAUCCAACAAACAAAUUGGAUGGACGGUAUGUCAUGUUAUUCAUUUUCCAUUGCUAUACUGUUGCCGAAAUUCUCCACAACGAUAUUCGGAGUCCCACAGUUGUAUGAGUUACCUUCAUUACUAAUUCUAUUUACAAGGAACAUACAUAGAUAGCAUGGUUCGCCAAGUUUAGAGGUGUUUUUAGCACUUCUCUUGGCUUUUUA